CUUCUCACCACACAAGGUGUAAAAGUGAUCUCAUGGUACUAGGUCACCACGGAAACCUGAAGGAUAACUGAGAACCAUGGCUAUAUACCACUGGCACAGAGCCUGAUCCUUAAUCCCACCCUGUUACAAUAUUCUCAAUACACCAGGGACAGAGCCUACAGCAGGGAUGAAAUUACUGAAUACAAGGAUGCCUGUCCAAAUUUGCAUCGGUCACAAAGCCAGACUCCCAGUGACAAUUCUAGCACAUGGGCCCUAUGUGCUGUGAACAGUCAGAGGAACAUUUCCAUGCCUCUCCUCAGCUUCAACUCCAUGAUACUGGACCCACCUGUGAGUGAUGCUCUGUUUAGAGUUGGCUUGCAUGCCACUCCUGCUGCAGCUCUGAGAGCGGAGGCUACUGGUAGUAAAGGGCAGUUUACUGCCAGCUUAUUUGGACUUAGAAUGACAGCCUUUUAGAGUAAACAUCCCAGGGAGCAAGUGACUUGGCGACCAAGUCCUUGGUGGCUCUUCCCAUGUCACUCCAAGCAGCCUUUUAAACACAGAGCUCAUGGAGGUAUUUAGAACUUGAACCUUGUUUGGUGGUUCACUGAGAGAACACCCACUUCUCUCAUGACCUGCCUGAGAUACUCAGCAUAGUCUGUGUGGUUGCUUCAGAGGCAACCACGUAAGGCAGAACGGAGCUCUUAAUGGCUCUCACCAGUACGUUUCCUCUUCACACAGAUCACUAAAGAGGAUCUGGAAGAAUUUUGUUUUCCUAAGGCAUUUAUCUUUGCAGCCCAGGCUGACAUUGAACUCCUGGUUCCCUUGCUUCAGCCUCUCAACAACUGGAUUACAGAUGUCCACCAAGCCCCGGGGAGAAAGAAUCUGGAAGAUUCCCAAAGAGGCUAUAAAGAAUGUAUUUGUGAGCUUGGUGUGGAGACAGGUAGACUCUCAGUGCUUUUAAAGGGCUAACCUGCACUAGCCAACCUUGCUUUUUACAGUGGUUAAGAGGAAAUGAACUUAAAAUAUGGUUCCCAGAACUCUGCUUGCUCAACAGUCCUGUCCCUCAUUAGCCAACAAUUUUACUGCACCAGUCCGAGGCAUGGAAUAAGGAAGGGUUUAUCAGUUAGUGGAAGAAGUUAAAAUGAGCUGUUAUUUCUUCACUAUAAAUUCUGCCCUUGCUUCUGAUGUCUUUUGUUCUAAUGACAGGAUUGGAUUUCCUGUGAAAACCUAUAGAUGACAUGUUGGUUAUUUCUUACAAGAGGACUGGAACAUAGACUCCUUGUUGGUGAGAGAAG
rnacentral:lncRNA from 1 species